rnacentral:rRNA from 1 species
UACGUAGGGGGCUAGCGUUGUCCGGAAUCAUUGGGCGUAAAGAGCGCGUAGGCGGCCAGAUAAGUCCGGUGUGAAAGUCACAGGCUCAACCUGUGAAUGCCGCUGGAAACUGUCUGGCUUGAGUCCGGGAGGGGCGAGUGGAAUUCCUGGUGUAGCGGUGAAAUGCGCAGAUAUCAGGAGGAACACCGGUGGCGAAGGCGGCGUUCUGGACUGUAACUGACACUGAUGAACGAAAGCCAGGGGAGCAAACGGG